GUGGGUAUCAUCUUCCUAAGUUAUGCAACAGGUCUGUUCAACAGCAGAGGAAAAGGAUUAGCAGGUGCCCACACCCUCAUCUACACCCACAAGCAGUGGAGGCCAAUCAAGUCAAAUGAGUUCCACAGUGCUCCAGACUGCUGUUCCAAUCCAACACCCCACAGCGUGCACCACAUCUGGAACUCCGGCAAAAAGGCCAAAGCUCACCCUGUCUUCA